rnacentral:rRNA from 1 species
AUUGAACGCUGGCGGCAGGCUUAACACAUGCAAGUCGAGCGGGGUGAUGGUGCUUGCACUAUCACUUAGCGGCGGACGGGUGAGUAAUGCUUAGGAAUCUGCCUAUUAGUGGGGGACAACAUCUCGAAAGGGAUGCUAAUACCGCAUACGUCCUACGGGAGAAAGCAGGGGAUCACUUGUGACCUUGCGCUAAAAGAUGAGCCUAAGUCGGAUUAGCUAGUUGGUGGGGUAAAGGCCUGCCAAGGCGACGAUCUGUAGCGGGUCUGAGAGGAUGAUCCGCCACACUGGGACUGAGACACGGCCCAGACUCCUACGGGAGGCAGCAGUGGGGAAUAUUGGACAAUGGGGGGAACCCUGAUCCAGCCAUGCCGCGUGUGUGAAGAAGGCCUUAUGGUUGUAAAGCACUUUAAGCGAGGAGGAGGCUCUUUUGGUUAAUACCCAAGAUGAGUGGACGUUACUCGCAGAAUAAGCACCGGCUAACUCUGUGCCAACCGCCGCGGUAA